UGUAAGUUCGACGAGCACGGAAAGGAAGACACAUAGACGGGCUUUUAUUUGGGGCUCAAUGGCCCAGAAGCGGGCAGGAUAAACACGACCUGAGUUCCUCAGCUGGGUGACUUAUCUGCAGGAAAUUGACCCCUCAAGCAAGUACAGAUGGUAGAAACUGAAGUGGUGAUUUUAUACAAACACUGUUGUUUUUUAAUAGCACAUGUGAUUCUGUUUGCAAAAGCUAAACCGUGAAUAAGUGAGAUUCUAGAUCCUGUCACCUCUAAUACUUUUCAGAGGUACCAGAUUUACAGCAGCUCUGGCAACAGAAAUAGGUGCAAUAAAGAAUGUCAGUAAGGAGAAGAAAGAUUUACCUGAGGUAAUUGGAUAAGAGUUAAUAAAAGGUGAAAGAAGAUUAAGGAGCACGUGUGUGAGGAAGAAAUUUCUGGAAUGGAAAUAACUGAGCUGAGACCCGAAAAGAAAAAUCAAAAGUAGAAGAAUUUGACUUUGUAUAAUUAUAUACCUGAA